CCAACAGCAAGACAAAGGAGGUAAACACCCACCUUACUCGCUCUUUACCCCUGGUGCUCCUUCACAUCCACCAGGGUGACAAAAAGCCUCAGCUCCUGGACAUAUGUUCUAGAAUGCCCACAGAGCACCCUGACAGGUGGGGGUGGCUGACAGUUUCUGGGCUCUGCUGAUGUUUCCAUCCCCCACAGUUCUUGGAGUCCACUUCUUCAGUGACUCCCACGAUCCCACGAGCUGUGAGCAGCAGCUCUUCAGUGGCAGCCACACCACUGCCCCAGGCCACUGAAAGCAAGGACUCUGGUACCAAUACUGUCACCAACAGCAGUUCCCUACUGCCUCAUUAAAAUGAGCAGGCAGAAGACAGCAGCUUCCUACAGGUCCACCUGGAGGAGCAGACCAGGAGGGAUUCACAGCGCAUCCUGGUAAGCCUGCUGGCAGGGCUGUCUCCUGCGUGAGCACAGGUGGGGGUGGCCGUCAGUUUCUGGCCUUUGCUGAUAUUCCAUCCCCCACAGUUGUCAGAAUCAACUUCUGAGGCCUCAGCCAUGGUGUGUAACAUCAGCCCAGCCUCCAGUCACAUCUCUUCUCAAAAGGCUAGGCCCAAGCCCAUGGCCACAAAACACAUGAAGAAAUCCAGGGCCAUCGGAUGCAUAAUGGGCAGAUGCUCACGGCCCCGGUCCAAGAAACAGGUGAAAGACAGCUGCCUCAUAAACAUCAGGCUAGAGCAGCAGAGUGCAAAGGAUGGCAAGACUGUCCUGGGCCCUGGAACAUCACUUGCUGAUGGAGGAGGAGCCAGGAGACUAUGAGCUGGGAGAAAUCAUCUCCCAACAGCACAAAAUGAAGAUUCCAAAGAACGCCAACGUCUUUUAUGGGAUGAAUCCCCAUGUCAGGAGAGACUUUGUCCUCAGGAA